CCCGCGCUGGAUCGGCAUCCUGGAGCUGGUGCUGCGAGACCGGGGGCUGUUGUCUGGGAGCUGCAUAAGCUCGGUGAACAAAAGGCAACCCACAGAGUCACAUCUCAGCCAGCAUUCCCCGGAGGAUUUUUUUUUAAGGGUGAUGCUAAUUGCUGUUUGCAAGGCAGAUCCCCGGCCGGGAUGCACCCAGUGCUUGAGGAAAGGCCUCACCUGUGCAAAGCAGAGCAUGUUUUCUUCGUAUGGAAGACAGGUGCAUGCACUGAUCUUUCUUGGAUUUAGGAUAUGGCCUAGCUUGCUUGUCUUUGUUGGUGUUGUAGCUGAGGAGCUGGUUUCUCGGGGUGGACGCUACCACUGUCCUUUGGCACAGAGCACCCAACUCCAUGUAGCAGAUAAAGAGUAACCAGCAGCCAUUGGAUCAGACCAGGGCCCAGCCAGCUCCACCAGCUACCUCCAGCAGUGCCUUUGUGUGCAGUCUCAUGCUCUGGACUAUGGGGCUGUUUGCAGUAAGCAGGUCUCCGCCCUGGAGAAAUUAGGGACUGGGAUCUGUCUCAUGUCCUGCAGCGUUGCAUAAAAACAGGAAAGCCAUGCAGUCACUGUGGCUAAAAGCAAAUUCAUGAUUAGCUAAUAUGUUUUGCUGUAAUAGUAACACAGUGAUGUCUGGUGCUAGCUCAAUAGCCAAAAAUGCUGGUGAUAGUUACACCCUGUGCUUUGCACAGAACAAUAAAUAAAUGAUCC
rnacentral:lncRNA from 7 species